AUUGAACGCUGGCGGAAUGCUUUACACAUGCAAGUCGAACGGCAGCACGGGGGCAACCCUGGUGGCGAGUGGCGAACGGGUGAGUAAUACAUCGGAACGUGCCCAGUCGUGGGGGAUAACGUAGCGAAAGUUACGCUAAUACCGCAUACGAUCUACGGAUGAAAGCGGGGGACCGUAAGGCCUCGCGCGAUUGGAGCGGCCGAUGUCAGAUUAGGUAGUUGGUGAGGUAAAGGCUCACCAAGCCGACGAUCUGUAGCUGGUCUGAGAGGACGACCAGCCACAGUGGGACUGAGACACGGCCCAGACUCCUACGGGAGGCAGCAGUGGGGAAUUUUGGACAAUGGGCGCAAGCCUGAUCCAGCCAUUCCGCGUGCAGGACGAAGGCCUUCGGGUUGUAAACUGCUUUUGUACGGAACGAAAAGGCUCUGGUUAAUACCUGAGGCUCAUGACGGUACCGUAAGAAUAAGCACCGGCUAACUACGUGCCAGCCGCCGCCGCCG
rnacentral:rRNA from 1 species